UCGGAUUGGGAAUUUAUUGUCGAAUUGAGAGAGAUUGUUGGUUAUGGUUGGGCGCCAUUACGACCGGGUUGGGUCAUGACAGUAUGGUUGAGUAUUGAGCUUUUGUAGUGGAUUAUGAUAAAUGAGCUUGGAGUGUUGAGUGUUAUUUUUGAUACGUUUGAUCAUUUCCCUCCCGUAUUAGAAAAAAAUUAGAAAAACCUAACUUGCUAAAUCGGCUGUAACCUAACUCCCCACAGCGUCAAUGGCAGUGCGUCAACAGCAAUCCGAUUUACCGCGAUUUAUAGUGCGUCAACAGUAAUCCCCAUCUUCUUCCCAGGUGAAUUCUCUUAUUCCCCUGUUAACUUCUCUUCUUCCGAUCGAUUUACAGUAAAUCAAUUCCUUGCAAUCGAUUUACAAUAGACUUUGUAUUGAUGUUGGCCGAUUGAUUUACAGUAAAUCAGUUUCGAACUUGUUGUUGUGUCAACAGCCUGCUGCAGUGCCCAUCCAUCUUCUUCCCAUGUAACUUCUCUUCUUCCCAUGUUAACUUCUCUUGUUCCCCUGUUAAAUCAGUCGCUUGCAAUCGAUUUACAGUAGAUUUUGGAUUGAUACUUUUCGAUUGAUUUACAAUAGAUUUUGUGUAUAUUAAUUUGGUAAAAGUCAUGUUAUAUGUUGUUCUUAUUUGGAUGUAGAAAAUCCUGAUUUAGGAAGUUUGUUUCGGCCGCUUGUCUCUUAUAUCUAAAUUUCUCCUUUAUUUUGGGAGAUCUGUCUGAUGCUGUUGAUGUGAGACAAAAUUUACUACUCACUAUUCACGCGUUACUAUUCACAGUACUGUUCANNNNN
rnacentral:lncRNA from 1 species